rnacentral:rRNA from 1 species
AGUGAACGCUGGCGGUAGGCCUAACACAUGCAAGUCGAACGGCAGCGCAGUAAGAGCUUGCUCUUACGGGUGGCGAGUGGCGGACGGGUGAGGAAUACAUCGGAAUCUACUUUUUCGUGGGGGAUAACGUAGGGAAACUUACGCUAAUACCGCAUACGACCUACGGGUGAAAGCAGGGGAUCUUCGGACCUUGCGCGAUUGAAUGAGCCGAUGUCGGAUUAGCUAGUUGGCGGGGUAAAGGCCCACCAAGGCGACGAUCCGUAGCUGGUCUGAGAGGAUGGUCAGCCACACUGGAACUGAGACACGGUCCAGACUCCUACGGGAGGCAGCAGUGGGGAAUAUUGGACAAUGGGCGCAAGCCUGAUCCAGCCAUACCGCGUGGGUGAAGAAGGCCUUCGGGUUGUAAAGCCCUUUUGUUGGGAAAGAAAAGCAGCAGGUUAAUACCCCGCUGUUCUGACGGUACCCAAAGAAUAAGCACCGGCUAACUUCGUG